UGCAAGCCAAAUUAAGGUGAAACCGCGAAUGGCUCAUUAAAUCAGUUAUGGUUCCUUAGAUCGUACCACUUUACUUGGAUAACUGUGGUAAUUCUAGAGCUAAUACAUGCAAACAGAGUCCCGACCAGAAUUGGAAGGGACGCUUUUAUUAGAUCAAAAUCAAUCGGUCGGCUCGUCCGGUCCGUUUGCCUUGGUGACUCUGAAUAACUUUGGGCUGAUCGCACGGUCCUCGUACCGGCGACGCAUCUUUCAAAUGUCUGCCUUAUCAACUGUCGAUGGUAGGUUCUGCGCCUACCAUGGUUGUAACGGGUAACGGGGAAUCAGGGUUCGAUUCCGGAGAGGGAGCCUGAGAAACGGCUACCACAUCCAAGGAAGGCAGCAGGCGCGCAAAUUACCCACUCCCGGCACGGGGAGGUAGUGACGAAAAAUAACGAUACGGGACUCAUCCGAGGCCCCGUAAUCGGAAUGAGUACACUUUAAAUCCUUUAACGAGUAUCCAUUGGAGGGCAAGUCUGGUGCCAGCAGCCGCGGUAAUUCCAGCUCCAAUAGCGUAUAUUAAAGUUGUUGCGGUUAAAAAGCUCGUAGUUGGAUUUGUGUCCCACGCUGUCGGUUCAUCGCUCGUCGGUGUCUAACUGGCAUGGUUCGUGGGACGUCCUGCCGGUGGUGGCGAGUCGAAAGCGUUGCGGCCGCCGCGGUCACCCGCGUGUGGUUCCUGCGCGCCGUAGACGGACCCCGAUGAAAUCCUACCGCGGUGCUCUUCACCGAGUGUCGAGGUGGGCCGGCACGUUUACUUUGAACAAAUUAGAGUGCUUAAAGCAGGCCGGUUGCGCCUGAAUACUGUGUGCAUGGAAUAAUGGAAUAGGACCUCGGUUCUAUUUUGUUGGUUUUCGGAACCCGAGGUAAUGAUUAAUAGGGACAGGCGGGGGCAUUCGUAUUGCG
rnacentral:rRNA from 1 species